rnacentral:rRNA from 1 species
UACGUAGGGGGCAAGCGUUGUCCGGAUUUAUUGGGCGUAAAGAGCGUGUAGGCGGCCUGAUAGGUCGGUUGUGAAAACUGGAGGCUUAACCUUCAGACGUCGGCCGAAACCAUCUGGCUAGAGUCCGGGAAGAGGAGAGUGGAAUUCCUGGUGUAGCGGUGAAAUGCGCAGAUAUCAGGAAGAACACCCGUGGCUGAAGGCGGCUCUCUGGAACGGUACUGACGCUGAGACGCGAAAGCGUGGGGAGCGAACAGG